AUCGUCUUUGGUGCGUGACUUGUGGAGACUUGUGUUUUCCAUGCUCGUGUUUUCAUAAAAAAUACAUAGAAAUUGUUGCACCAGGGAGCAUAAACAACCCGCGGUUCAGUUGAACAAACGUAAACAAAGGUUCAGUGCAUUAACUCAUGGUAAAUUGUGGAAAAAUAAGUGAUGUGUCAGACAAAUGUGGACAAAAACACAUGUGGAGUGAUAAUAACCAAAUUUCAGUGUGUGAUUAAUAUUUUAAAGACUCAUUUGUGAAUAAUUGGAUUUCCCUCGACAUCAGGAGUAUUUACCAGAAAUGAAUGAAUUAUCUUCCUAAUGCAAAAAUGAUUGCAUCAAGGAGCUGCCAGUUACGUGCCGUGCAACUUCCGGUCAUUCAUGAAAUUUGUAUUGGAGACGAUGAGAAUAAUCGAUUCAAGUCCCGUAUGGGGUACCUCCGUACUUGAAUCAUGCACCAGGUGUUCACGAAAAUACAGGUGUGAAACGGAUGUUCCUCUUGAUAAUUCACGAGUGAUUUGAUCGCUCGCGGUUGGAGCGCGGGGCUUCCGGGAUGUCACUAUAUGUUGGGUAUUGUAAGACUCCGUCUUCAGAUCUAACGAAGUAGGGUUCCAAUGGAUUGACGAACUCUCGAUUUCUGUACGGAUCGUAUUCAUGGCAUUGACACUCGGGAUUUGACAGGCAGGAACUCCGGGGAUAAUGCAAUUCCACGGAUGGCCAGAUGCCUGACUGCACUGGCAUUCGUACCACACGUACCUCUCUUCCGCAAUAACUUGGACGAUGAAUCGUGUAAUAUCUUACAUCUUGGGAAACUUCUGGUGUCGCUUCCGGUUUAUUCUGUGAUGAUGCCAUUUCUCAAUUUGCUCCUGCAAUUACAGAACUUCUGCUGAAGAAAAUAAUGAAACACUGGCUCACUGGAAGUGCAAAUGGAGAAGGAAAAACUAUUUUCGAUAACUUCAAGUGGAUUUUCUCACCUGGAGUGGAUGUUUGCGGACUUGAAAAUGUCGAGGACACAAUUAUAAACAGUGUGAUUUCACCGAGGAACAAACGAAGAGUGAUCUCUGCGUUGACCUACCCCUCCUGCAAGGAAUUACCCAUAUACCUGUUACCUGGAGAGUGAAUAGCCAAUUGCAAUUUGCCAGACCCUUUUGGGACCCUCUGGACAAUGGGAGGGAGUGGGGAUUGGUGCCCGGCAGGCCCAUUUUUCCCUUUCGGGGGAAAUUCUGCAUUUUGUGCCCCUUCAGGUAUUUGGACAAUACUAUCAAUCGUACUAAUCCUCGGACGCACCGGAUUAUACCAGUUUUAUGGACGCUGGAUGAUAUUAUUCUCGCACUCAUGGAGAGCGAUCUUCACCAGGUGAUUAAGCAGAUACAGUAUAUGAAUGACUUACAACGUAUGAUUUGCAACGUACAUGGAGAGUAGAGUGCAGGGAUCUACUGGAAAAUUUGGGGAGGUACAAGCUCACUAGUGACAGACUGACUUUUCUCGGGAAAUACUGCGAGUUUCAUCAGAUGUACGAGAUCGGAGAGUUCCAGGAAGCUGCGAGGCUACUCAUGUCACUAAUUAUAUCCAAUUUGACGCCUAAGUAUUUCUGGCCGAUUCUUCUGUCCGAUGCAAUACCUCUUCUGGAAUCCGAAGACGUAAUACUCUCCAGUGAAGAUACAUUCACGCUGAUGAGGUGUUUAGAGGAGCACGGAGAUGACCUGGAAUUUCAGGAUAAAGUGGAAAUAACAAGAUUGGCGGUUGCGAGGACCUUGUCCCGAGCCCUUAUCCUCGACGACUGCCAAAAUGAUUAAUAAAUUAUGUUUUUUUAUAUUUAUAA